UGUAUGCCUUCAUAGCGGCCCGACCUGAAAACCGUCAUUGGCAUUUUCUGUGCCACAGUGAUCAUUGUCCUUUGGGCACUAUGCAUUUGGCAGCUCCCUAUCAGGUUUGCAUCAGAUACCACACCUCCAGCAGAACCUCCAUGCUUUUGCCAAAACAACGGAAUCUGUCCAGAUCGCUUAUGCCUUUGUCCAGAGGAAUGGAUAGGCUACCACUUUGAGAUAGGUGGUGUUCCUAACGCAACUCGCAUGCACACUAGAAAAAAUUGGAAUACCUACUCUUGAACCUCCUAACUUGAAUUGCAAUGUGACCCUACUUGGCUUCUCUGAAAAGGCCAAUAUGAAAAUCUCAUAUUGAUUGGAAGUACUACUUUACUACUUGGGUACUACUUUAAAAAGGACAGCCAUCGUCUGUUUGAAGGGAUAUCCAGUCCAAGUCUGGGGUAAGAAAAAGACGCAAAAGUGCUCUCUGUUAAUGGACUGUUCAAAGUUUGAAACAGGCUUUAGUAUAUAUUGGAUGAAAU